rnacentral:rRNA from 1 species
AGUUGGUAAGGUAAUGGCUUACCAAGGCCACGAUCAGUAGCUGGUUUGAGAGAACGAUCAGCCACACUGGGACUGAGACACGGCCCAGACUCCUCCGGGAGGCAGCAGUGAGGAAUUUUCCGCAAUGGGCGAAAGCCUGACGGAGCAAUACCGCGUGAGGGACGAAGGAUUUUGGUCUGUAAACCUCUUUUCUCAAGAAAGAAGUUCUGACGGUACUUGAGGAAUAAGCAUCGGCUAACUCCGUGCCAGCAGCCGCGGUAAUACGGGGGAUGCAAGCGUUAUCCGGAAUCAUUGGGCGUAAAGCGCCUGUAGGUUGUUUAAUAAGUCUGUUGUUAAAGACUAGGGCUCAACCCUAGAAAAGCAAUGGAAACUGUUAGACUAGAGUAUGGCAGGGGUAGAGGGAAUUUCUAGUGUAGCGGUGAAAUGCGUAGAUAUUAGAAAGAACACCAGUGGCGAAAGCGCUCUACUGGACCAUUACUGACACUCAGAGGCGAAAGCUAGGGUAGCAAAAGGGAUUAGAUACCCCUGUAGUCCUAGCCGUAAACGAUGGAUACUAGRUGUUGUAUUUAUUUUACAGUAUCGUAGCUAACGCGUUAAGUAUCCCGCCUGGGGAGUACGCUCGCAAGGGUGAAACUCAAAGGAAUUGACGGGGGCCCGCACAAGCGGUGGAGCAUGUGGUUUAAUUCGAUGCAACGCGAAGAACCUUACCAGGGCUUGACAUACUGCGAAUCUCCUUGAAAGAGGAGAGUGCCUUCGGGAAUGCAGAUACAGGUGGUGCAUGGCUGUCGUCAGCUCGUGUCGUGAGAUGUUGGGUUAAGUCCCGCAACGAGCGCAACCCUUGUUUUUAGUUACCAAUUCGUUGGGCUUUCUAGAAAGACUGCCGGUGACAAACCGGAGGAAGGUGAGGAUGACGUCAAGUCAGCAUGCCCCUUAUGUCCUGGGCUACACACGUGCUACAAUGGCUAGGACAAAGAGUCGCAAGUUUGCGAAAACAAGCUAAUCUCAUAAACCUAGCCUAAGUUCAGAUUGUAGGCUGCAACUCGCCUACAUGAAGUUGGAAUCGCUAGUAAUCGCUGGUCAGCCAUACAGCGGUGAAUCCGUUCCCGGGCCUUGUACACACCGCCCGUCACACCAUGGGAGCUGGUCAUACCCGAAACCGUUAGCUUAA